UAGUGGCUUUCUGGAAGUGCAGUAGAUUGAGUCUGCUGGAAUUUUGAGAAAUACCAUUAAAACUGAAGAAACAACAUCAGAGUUAUGAAUGGGCAGUCUCCCCUCUUCAGAUACACAGCAGUCCCUUAGAAGAGGGAGUGGACCCAGGAUAUUCAACAUGUUCUACUGUACCAUCAACACUGGAGCCAAAAAUCCAUGAGCUGGAUUAUGACAAUAACUCACAGACACGCUUCAGAGCCCAGUGUAACCCUUCAGCAUUAACCAUUUUAAGUGAAGUGACUAAGC